AGUUGUAUUUUGACUUUUUAGUAGAACGUGUCCUCUAACAACAUGUGUUUUUAGCAGAGAAACAAAACAAGAAUUUUAAAAUAAAUUUAAAAGAAACAAAAAGUAUUUUAAUUUUUUAAUAAAAAUAAAAAUAUAUUUAAACUAAAUUAUACACAAAACUACAACUCGCCAUUAAAUUUAGCAAAAUGCAUAUUUCUUAUAAAUUUGGAUUAUUUUUAAUAUUUAUUUUAAGCAUAAGUUUUUAUCACACCAGAGCUGCACCCGUUACAAAUGAAACCUCCGUAUAUGAUGAUGAAUAUCGUGAUAAUUACGAUGAUGAUUAUUAUGAUGAUACAGAAGAUACCAAAAGUAAAGCAUCUACACCUAGUAGUAUAAAUCCAAUAACAACAACCACAAAAUCAUCUUCAUUCAUAUUUAAUUUAUUUGACAUCCCCCCAACGUAGUAAUCAUGUGGUAGAGCCCAGCUGCCCUAAGGCUUGCUUUUGUUUAGAAGAUUUCAAAUAUAUAAAAUGCUCAAAUGCUGGUCUCAAGGAAAUACCACGCGAUAUACCCACUACUGCAGCCAUUAUAGAUUUAAGUCAUAAUGAAAUACAAGAAAUUAAGAAAACCGAUUUUGCACAUCGUUCAAAAUUGCAAGAAUCAAUUUAAUAAUAAUCAUAUAGAGAAAUUGGAACAGGAGGUCUUGUGGAUUUACCUCGCUUACAAAGGCUAAAAUUGUCUAAUAAUCUUUUAACCUCUAUACAUCCCGAUACCUUUUAUGGGUGCUUCGGAUUUAAGUUUAUUGGAUUUAAGUAAUAAUUCCAUAAUUUAAAUGAUCAUGACUCAUUCCUAAAUCAACCUUCUCUAUUGGAAUUGAAUUGUCGUAAUUGUUCUUGGACGGAGCUGUAUGAUGAUACUUUUAAGAAUACUUCAUCAUUGACUGCUUUGAGAAUAGAUUUAAAUGAUUUUAAUAAGAAAAUCAAUACUAAAGCAUUUGUGCCGCUGAAAAACUUGAUUAAGCUACGUCUACCCGAAUUGGAUGCCCAUAGCACGGAGGAGCUAUGUAAUCUCUUGAAAUUUAUCGAUAAUAUUGGUUUUAAACAUUUCGAUGUUAGUUGCUAUGAAUUGGUUUUGGGUGCAAGCUACAAUGAAAGUUUAAUCUUGGCCACGGAACCGCCAUAUAAAAACCUAAAUUAGAGUUGGAAAUAGAGGAAGAGAUUAAGAAAAGAAAGAAGGCAGAAACAGAUAGAGAAUUAAAAGCGACAGAUAAUAAACAACUAGAUAAACUAAACAAGCUAAGAAACAAGAAACUUCCACUAUGUCUUCUAAUUUAACACUGGCAGCAGAAUUUUCCAAUAAUACUGAUGAUGUCUUGCAGGCGGGAGUGGUGCCGCCGGCGGGAGAAGAUCCGGAAAAACCCUAUCAAGUACCCAUUUCACAAGAAGCCAUUAAUUUCAUGUUAAUAGGUCUCAUGGUUAUUUCUGUUAUUGGCAUUAUCAUUGGCAUCAUCUGCCGCAAAGAUGUGGGUGGCAUUAAGACAAAAUGCUGUCGCACCAAAAAACCUUUAGAUGAAAAAACAACAGAAGCAGGUUCUCCCGGUGAGGAGAUUCCUUUAAAUAAGUUAACUUAGUUUAUUUAUUAAGUUAAAUAAUUAAGUUAGAAUUUAAUUUUUUAAAAUCUACACAAAUUUUUGUUUCCCUUCAUCCACUCUGUAAAUAUUUAUAAACGAACAAACUGAUGAUCCCACAAACUCACACACACACAAAAAUAAAAGUAAAUUUUUCCAUAUAAGCAAAAACAUAUGUAUGUACUUGCCAAAUACAUUCUAUUGUCUGCUUAGUAAUUGUUGCUACAAUUAAUUUAAUUAACCAAAAGUUGAAUAGGUUUCUUUAUUAAUUUUAUAAGUUAACUUUAACUCUUUUUUUUAUAGCUUUUAUAAAAUCUAUAAUAGAAAAACUAGCAUUUAAGUAAUAAACUUUUUCUGUAAUAAGUGUAUUUUCUUGUCUAUAUGUAUUGUGUUUCUUCUUAGUUUUGUGGUUCGUAAAGCAACUAGUCUUGUCUGUAUCUUAUAUUUAGUUAUUUCUUUCUAUUUUCUAAAUAAUAAAUAGUUUUGUCUAAUAAAUAUAUAAAA